UUUUUCUACGUGUUUGCUAUGCGGAUGUUAACAGGAUUUAUCUAGCGCUUUACACCUUUUAUAUAGCGGUUUUAUAAGAAGGCUACAUGGAAACAGUAACAGAGAAUUCAGCAAACGAAAUAUGUAACAAGAUGAUAUUCUGAUAUUCUAAAAUAUAUUCAUCAUAAAACCAAUUUGAUGGAAAAUUUAAAUCAAAUUUUUUUGCAGUGUACUUAAACAACUUAUCUAUAUGCCGUAUCUUUAAUGGACAUCGACAAUUAUUCUGGGCCAUUUUUCCCUAUCAUCGAUCGCUCCUAACAACUGAACAGUCCUCAUUCCAGUUCACUGUCGUAGAUUUUGGAACCACGUCUUUAAAUGUCCAGAUCUUCCUUUUAUCUUUCCUUGUUCAAAUUAUUUAGAUGCGUUCAUUUUAGAAAGUAAGAUAGCUUCAUUAGAAAACGGUACUAACCAAGUCAUCGAAUAUUCGAAGGAUAAAUCAUGAGAAGAAAAUGUCCAAAUACUUUAAUUUUUCUUUUUAGAUUAAAAAGAAGUCAUAUGCAUGUUUAUACAGUAUCCUACACCUGACAUACCCAUCUGUUAGUGCCGUGAUGUAUUUGAAGAUGCAGAGAUCCGCAGAUAAACUUUCUGUUAAUGGAUGAAGACGUCAGACUUCUGCUCUUGGAUACUUUUGACGAUUAAUAUCAAUAAUGAGGUGGAAGAGUGGAUCAAAGUUUGAGAAGCUUGAAAAAGAAGGUCGGAGACCUCCCCAUCAAUAAAGAAGCUCUUGAGUGUCGUCUUGCUUCCGGUGGUUUGACAUCAUUACAUCGAGGCGGUCAAAAAUCAUUAAGGUCGACCAUCUUUCAUUUUACUGUCUGCCUUCCAGACAACUUGUGCACUUUAUGAACAUCUUUCACUAAAUUCUUAUAUCAAUUUUAGUGCAUACAUUAUAAUAUGUCUUUCUGCUGUGAUUGAUAACUCGGUAUUUUUUGCAUCAUGUAUUUAGUAAAAUAUUAAAU